CUACGUAGGGUGCAAGCGUUAAUCGGAAUUACUGGGCGUAAAGCGUGCGCAGGCGGUCUUGUAAGACAGAGGUGAAAUCCCCGGGCUCAACCUGGGAACUGCCUUUGUGACUGCAAGGCUUGAGUACGGUAGAGGGGGAUGGAAUUCCGCGUGUAGCAGUGAAAUGCGUAGAUACGCGGAGGAACACCGAUGGCGAAGGCAAUCCCCUGGACCUGUACUGACGCUCAUGCACGAAAGCGUGGGGAGCAAACAGGAGUAGAUACCCUGGUAGUCCACGCCCUAAACGAUGUCAACUGGUUGUUGGGAAGGUUCCUUCUCAGUAACGUAGCUAACGCGUGAAGUUGACCGCCUGGGGAGUACGGCCGCAAGGUUGAAACUCAAAUGAAUUGGCGGGG
rnacentral:rRNA from 1 species